UUUUAGUCAGGGACGACAGCAACUUGGAGACAACCGACACUCAUUGGAAAGCAAUGCAAUGAAUGUUCUAGUUUGCCUUAGAGAUUGGAUUAGAGCGGAAAGAAUAAAUCGAGGAAUGGAACCAGAGCCGAACGACUAGCAGAAACUUGAAGAAAUUAUGUGUUCACAGGAGAACUCAGCAGAAUCAAGUCCAAUGCAUGAUUUUGCCCCCGUUGACUUUGACUAUCCUAUACAAGUUCCCG
rnacentral:lncRNA from 1 species